UAAGAAUGGGUCUUGUGCCUGGAACGCUUCCUUCUUAAGAUACGAAGAGUUUUCACAGCCUGUGCUGGGCUGUUACCUUGUGUGGGAAUAUCUUUCCCUGUUUCAGACUCAGCAUGUACCCCUUUGUUCUGCUGGUGUGUACAUCAUGUGGAUAACCCCACUGUUAUACCUGUGCCUCAUGGGGAGGGGUUGGGGUCCUGCUAAAGCACAAGAUGGGUAUGUGCAGGCCACGGGCCCUGUGCCAGCUGCUGGGAGGAACUUGCUGGUUUUGGGGCACCAACACCCUCUACUGAAGCUGAUCUUGCUCCGUCUCCUUCCUACGUGGGGAACGCCUUCUUCCAUCUAGUUAGUGCCAGGCGGCAUUUUGUUCUCCUUGGUGACUCUGAUGUGAAGAGGCAGUGGGCGGAGUGCUUGGACUUCUGCUCCUGGUGACAGGCAACAGAACAGGACUUCUGCUCCAGGUCCUGUGCUAAGUCCUUGAAAUGUAUUAUCAUACUCCUCAUAAAACAUUUUAAGGUGUUCCAGACACUCUGCUGGGCAUUGGAUGUACAAAGAUCACACAACACAGUGCCUUCUGCAAAUAAUCGCACAGUCCAUUGGAGGAAACAGUCAUUUGAAUAGUCAAUUAUAAAGCAAUGAUAGGGACAUAUGGAGGGCUUUAUGGAAACACGGAUAAUGGGCUCUGUUAUGGGUUGAAUUGUGUCCUCCUCUCAAAGUCAUAUGUUGAAAUCCUAGUCCCCAGUACCCCAGAAUGUCACCUUAUUUGGAAAUGGGGUUUUUCAAGAUGUAAUCAAGUUAAAAUGAAGUUAAUUAUGGUGGGCCCUUAUCCAAUAAGGCUGAUCUCCUUAUAAAAAGGGGAAUUUGGGGGACAGGCACACACUGAGGAGAAGAACAUGAGAAGAUGAAAGGAGAGAUGGGAGUGAUGCUUCUACAAACUGGGAACUCUAAGGAUCACCAGCAAAUCACAAAAGCUAGGUGAGGAGCUUCGAACGGAUUCUUCUUCACAGCUCUCAGAAGGAAACAACCCUGCCAACAACCUUGACCUUGACUUGUACCCUCCAGGACUGUGGGACAUAAAUUUCUGUGGUUUAAGCUAUCUAGUUUUAGGUGCCUUUUAAUGGCAGCUCUAGGAAACUAGUACUGGGUCUUAACUCAGCUUUGGGGAAAGGGAUCAGAGAAGGCUGCCGGGAGGAGAUGACAGAGUGAACUGUAAUAGACAGAGCUGAUUGAAUAGCAAGUUGCCAAGUGAAAGGGUUGGGGAAGGGUGUCAAGGUGGCAUUCCAGGUGGCUAGGGAGGCAACAUGGGCAGUAAAGUAUUGAGGUGAGAAGCAGCUGGUGAGUGAGGAAUUUGGUGAGGUUUGAGAGUGGUCUCAAGUAGGAAGUAGGAAGAGACAGGAUACGCCAAGCACAGGGCUUGGGGAUGUGCACCAGUGCACAAGGCCAACGAAGACAAGUUUCCUGACCCCGUGGAGAGGACACUUACAUCCCACACUGGGAAGCCACAGUGGAGCAACUAACCUCACGUCACUCUCCUGUUCCCAGUCACCACUGAGCUCUGGUGGUUGGACCAGUGACUUAGUUCCACAAACUUGGUGCCUUGAUGGGGAAAAGUCCUUGUUCAGCCAUGAAAGAAGCACCACAUUUCUGGACUGCUCAAGUUCCAUUCUUGGGUACUCGAAGGUCUCACUGCUCUAUCUGGGGUUUCCUUUCUUUCAGAGAAAAUGAUUUCUUCCCCUUUAUCAUUAAGCAAAAACUCCAAGAUGAUGCUAAUUAUAAGGACAUUUAAGCAUCAUUUAAGGUGAUCACAUCCUGAUUCCGGGACAUUUGUGUCUGAAUUUCCUCACAACAGGAAUACUGCCAGUGAGGAGGCUUUCCCUUAGCCAUUACACUUUACAAAAUCUAGCUCAAAAGGUCAGAAGCUGUUCCUGUAAAGGCUGCCUGAUGUUCCGUGCUCUGUCCUCCUUACAGGAUUCAGGGCGCUUUUGUAUAAAAGUUUCCACCUCUGGUAGACAUUUCAAAAGACUCUUGUGAAAAGAAUAUCUGGAAGCAUAUAGCCAGAAAUGCACAGAGAUUUAAUCUGAUUAAUUAAGAAGUUUUUUUAUUUUAAUAUCAACCCAACUUUUAUAUAAUCUUUAAAAAUUCUAGUGCUUCUGGAUCAAAGGUGAGGUUAUUCACCCCAGGAGGAUCUUUAAAUUGAGGAGUAUUUGUAACCUUUUUCUUUUAGAUUUAUUUAAAAUUAAGCCUAAAGUAAAAUGUUAAACACUAAAAUAUAAUGGUUUUUGCCUUCAUAAAAUUUAUUUCAGAGCACAUUUGAAUCAUACAUUAAAUAUCCUGGUUACGAGUACCAUAUGUUUCUUCUGAAAAUGGAAGAAUUGGCUUAUAAUCCAAGUGUCUUCUUAAUUUUGUUUUUUUAAAAAUGACGUGAUUAUAUUCAGAUGAAGAAUGUAUGUAUAUUUAAAGUCUAAUUCUUUGUUCAAAAGAAUUAAAUGGUCCAUACAAAUACAUAGUUUAAGAUAAUUAAGGUUUACCUGUACACUAGAGAAAAGUUAAUGACAAUUAAAUGACAUUCCUGCAACACACUACACUGACAUUUACAUUGAUCAGAUACUUGUUAGGGGAAGCAGAGGUACUUGGUUCUAUGGACAUGUCCCCUCUAAAAUUCAUGUUGAAACUUAAUUCCCAUUGUAUUAAGAGGCGAGACCUUCUGGGAAGUGAUUACCUUAUGAGGGAGGCUCUGCCCUCAAGAAUAAGAUUGGCAACUUUAUAAAAGGGCUGGAGAGGCUGAAUGCAGUGGCUCAUGCUUGUCAUCCCAGAGCUUUGGGAGGCCCAGAGGACCACUUGGGACAAGGAGUUUGAGAUGAGCUUGGGCAACAUAGCAAGACCCCAUCUGUACACAAAAAAUACAAAAUUAGCCAGGUCUGAUGGCAUGUGCCUGUAGCUCCAGGUACUUGGGAAGGCUGAGGUGGAAGGAUCCCUUGAGCCCAGGAGUUUGAGAUUGCAGUGAGCUAUGAUCACACCACUGCAUUUCAGCCUGGGUGAGAGAGUGAGACCCUAUCUCUAAAAAAAUAAAAUAAAAAAAUAAAUAAUAUAAAGGGUGGAGAGAACUAGUGAUCAUUCCUUUUGCCCCUCCACCUUCUGCCAGGUGGGGAUGCUACCAGUAGGAGAGCUGUAAAGGAGCCGGCCCCCACCAGACACUGAACCUGCUGAUGUCUUAUCUUGGACUUUCUAUCCUCUAGAACCAUGAGGAAUAAAUUUUGUUCUUUAUAAAUUACCUAGUCUCAGGUAUUUUG
rnacentral:lncRNA from 1 species